CCCUAGCUUAUCUAGCUUAUGGAGGAAGCGAGGAGCGCUGGAAGGCAUGGCAAGAUCGCGCUCAAGGAGCUCACGCAGUCGCCCGGGAGGUAUUUGCUUCUUAGUCCCAACGAUGAUGGCCUCGAGCGCCGCCAAGCGCGGCUUGCUCGAGCUCAAAAGAGGAGGUCGCUUGCGUUUGGCGAGAGCGAAGGCGGAGAGGGAUCUCCUGCUCUUCCUGAGAAUCCUUCGCGGAGCGAGCAGAUUCUCACGCCAGACCAGGUUUUGGAGCUUCUCAAUAACUGCAUCAAGCUUGCCGCUGAGAAUAAAAUUAACCAGCAGAACACUUGGGAUCUCAAGCUCAUAGAUUAUCUUCCUCACAUUGUCAAGGCUGACAACAAUGAAGACACACAAACGAAUUUUCAAAAGGCUAGCUGCACGUUGGAAGCCAGCGCCAAAAUCUAUUCUUGUCGAGUGGACUCCGUCCACACGGAAACUUAUAAAGUUCUGGGAGGCCUUCAUCGAAGUGCCAAAGAGAAAAAUGACACGCCCGAGGCUUGUGAAAACGGUGGUACUGAGCAGCAGCAUGAACACCACAAAAGAAAGGAUUGUCACAAACAAACUUUAGAGUCUUAUGAGAGCUUGAAUGUGAAGCAUUUUGAUGCUGCUAUGAAUGUGGAUCCUCUAUUUCAUCAAACAUCAGCACAGUUUGAUGAGGGUGGAGCAAAAGGUCUUCUUCUUAACACCCUAAGCGUUUAUAGAGGGUGUGAGAUUUUAUUCGACUCUCAAGAUAUCCCGGAGAAAUGUAUGAAAGUCGAGCUGCCAAAAGAUCCAGCUAGAAUUGACUUAUCAUUUGCGUCAGAUGUGAUUGAAAAAAUGCUUUCGAUAAAGGAUACGGAAAUAUCUCCUUCUCUUUCUGAAAUUGUGCAGCUUAUCGAUGAUCCUCUUCGCAAAGCUGCCACCUUGGAUGCUGAGUUUUCAACGUUCGAAGCGUAUCAUCCAGAAGAAGACGCUCAAAAUGACGGAUACGCAAGUCCACACUCAACCAUUGAUGCAGAGCCCAUGUAUGACGAUGGCCCGAAUGAUGGAUACGCAAGUCCGGCGUCCACAACGUCCAACUCGCCCCAAGAGGAUGGCUUGCAUGGAUCGGUUGAAUAUCUUUCGUGCGAUCCAGAAGACACGAUCGAUUGGCUGAAAGAAGGCCUGGGCAUCCCCAGCGGGAAAAACUUUUGGGCCGGGGCUGACUACUGGAAAUUUACGAGGCCAAAAGAUGAUAUGUCGGAGGCUACGGAAAAGAAACCAACCAAGAAGAAAAAGGAGCCUUUUUCUAUAAUCUAUACCUGUGCUCCCGAAAUGGAAACGCACGCAUUCGCCAAGCCUCGUGACUUACGAGCAAAUCUGCUGCCACAAUCAAGGCAAUCUGCAAGCACGACACUACCCGAGGAUUUACGAUAUGAAGCUGAUGAUCUGCUUCGACUUUUCCUUCGACCUUCAAAGAUGCUUAUACGGCCACGCUCUAAGUCGAAAGUCGACAACGCCUCGGAAACUUGGGGCGGCGACGCUGGAGACUUCUGGGACGGUGGGAGCAUCCACAGCGAUGUUGAAGACAACAACACGGAUGAGUUAGUUGUCCAGCCAAGAAAGGUUCAAAGAAUCGAAGUAAACUACGACAAAACCUCCAAGCAAGUUGACGUGCGUGCAUUGAAACAGAGCAUCUGGGACCAUCUCCAACACGAGGCCACAACCGAGCUCCAAGAGGACAUCGACACCGAAGAUCACGGGAUCAUACACUUCAGCGACGUGCUGAGCAAAAUCCCGGGCGACUGCGCUGCGAGUGCCGAUCCAGGAGACUUAUCUGUCCACCUCUGCUUCAUUUGCCUGCUCCAUCUAGCAAACGAGCACGGACUGGUGAUCAAGGGGUGUUCAACCAUGGACGAGCUACUGAUCGAGAACGUACGCCACUAAAACGAGCGACAUUGCAAUCCGGCGGAGUUCGUUGUAUUCUUCCUGGGUGAUAGUCCAGCGCACGCCAUCGCCCAGUUUACACAAACCCGACUCAUCACCACAAAACAAACCGGGACCCUCGUUGGUGGUGGUUUGGUUCCUGUUAUUAGCAGAGAUUGCCUAAGGUGGAUGACGAGGGCAACAAGAUUGGAGGCGCGACGAAUGCGCAAAACUGACCAGUGUUCUUCCUUCGCAGGAUUGGAUCGCAAUCUAUCUGUUCUUUGUGCUCUCUUUGCAAAGCUGGUUGAUCACCCUACGUUUUCUAUCAUGGGAUCAAAGAUGACACAGCCUUUAUACGACACGUUAAAGGUACUAGAA